AGCGAGCAGGUCAGCGCUUCAAGGUCCUGCGCUGGCUGACUGACAGUUUGCUCUCGCCGGGCUGAGUGGCCUGAGCAUUUCAUGUGUAAACCAGAGCUGGUCUGGCUAGUUUCAGAUGUCACGGCGAGGAGGCUGGCAGGCGGAGAGCAGCCGCUGCAGAUGCGCUCCGACACUCGCGGACCCCGCGGCCAACGCAGCAACGCGAAAGGCCUGCUCAGGCAACCGGAAGAGGUGACAAAACGCAUCAGGCGAUACAACAUGCCUCGCCAGCAUGAUCAGACAACGCAAUAAAGUGAAGCUGGAACCAAGUAGCAGUGCGGUACACAGGGAGCCACAGGACAACAGGCAGUGCCCAGAAAAAAAGAUGUCAUUGUGAACCUUGACCCCGCCCUGAUCCACAUCCACUCUCCACCAGGAAGCCGAGCACAUGCCUGAACAAUCAACUCCGGCGCUGCCAUCAAUUUUGCACAGAGCGAAGAAAAGAUGAAUCACCCAGGUUCAGGCAAAAGAGAGAUGGGUAAAAACAUGAGGAUAAAAGGCUUUUCCUAUGAAAGUGAGAGCGAAAAACAUGUUUUUUAGUCCCUGAAAAGUAACUGUCACAGGAGUGACAAGGAGGCACUAUUAAGAGCCUCCGCUCAUUCAGCCGGUUUGUCUGAACUGUUCAACAAACAAUUACAGGGAGUCAUGGGGGUUAUGUUUAUCUGGAGACCUGGCCUGUGAGGAGCUGCCUUAAAAGCCACGGUGAAUUUAAGAGGCAAGUACGUCUGCUUCAUAAACCUGUGAUUUUUGCCUGGAUAUUGAUUUCUGUUUGACGCAGGAGUCUACGGUCAGCAGGAGGCUGAUGGCAACGUGUCCUGCUUUCUGUGCAGGUCACACUGAAGAACUACACCGAAGAAUCUCGCUCAUAUUGGCCCUGUGUUAGAUAAAUGAAAUAUAGCCAGUUAAAGCAUCUGGUGCAAAAGAUGUUUACAGUGCAGCAGUGCAUCGUGGGACCGACGCAUGGCUUCCUUCAGCCUUUAUCAUGGCGCCCGUGCCAAUCAGUGAUUGGUCACAAGUACAUAUUCGCACAUCAAUUAUUUCAUUUUAAUGUUUGAUUUUUUUUAAUAAACGGUGGCUAUACAGCAGGGCAGAGUGGUGACGGGGUGUUUAGCACUGGUUCGAAAGCACUGAGCGGUUCC